rnacentral:rRNA from 2 species
CCACACAUUCAAAGAGUGCGUAAUAGCUCACUAGUCGAGAGGUCCUGCGCCGAAAAUGUCCGGGGCUGAAACACAACACCGAAGCUUAGGAAUGUAUGUAAGUACAUUGGUAGAGGAGCAUUCUUAGUGCGGAGAAGCGGUACCGAUAAGGAGCCGUGGAGCGUUAAGAAGAGAGAAUGCCGGAAUGAGUAGCGAGAUGGAGGUGGGAAUCCUCCAGGCCGAAUAUCCAAGGUUUCCAGAGUAAAGCUGAUCUGCUCUGGGUAAGUCGGGGCCUAAGGCGAGGCUGAGAGGCGUAGUCGAUGGACAACAGGUUGAAAUUCCUGUACCAUGUAUCAUCAGAACUGUGGGGACACAGAAGGACAACACAUCCCGGGAAUGGGAAUACCGGGGCAAGCGAGGKAGGAGUMCGGUUGGCAAAYCCGCCKKGCAAUCCRAAGACGUGAYGCGCAGCGAACUAAAGUAGCGAAGUGUGUGAUUCCGGCUGUCAAGAAAAGCCGCUAUUGUGUGAUACAUGCCCGUACCGUAAACCGACACAGGUAGAUGAGGAGAGAAUCCUAAGGCCGGCGGGAGAAGCAUUGUUAAGGAACUCGGCAAAAUGACCCCGUAACUUCGGGAGAAGGGGUGCCACAGAGAUGUGGCCGCAGAGAAUAGGCUCAAGCAACUGUUUAGCAAAAACACAGGUCUAUGCAAAACCGUAAGGUGAGGUAUAUGGGCUGACGCCUGCCCGGUGCUGGAAGGUUAAGAGGAGAGGUUAGCGCAAGCGAAGCUUUGAAUUUAAGCCCCAGUAAACGGCGGCC